AAAGUUGCUCCACGCUGCGUCAAAGCCUCGCGCUGGCCAAACCGGAAGCGAGGCGGAAACGCUUUCACAAUAAAAGCGCGGUCCUUAUUUGCAGGUCAUGUGCUCAAAUAUUUUUGUCAAAGUGGGAAAACCGGAGUAAAAAAUGUGUUUCUGACCAAUGUUCCAGGACUUCAUUUUAAAUGAUCAGCUUGAAAGUUUCACCAGGAUCCAUUCUGGUGUUAAAGUUCUCUUUGAAUGUUUUCUUUCUGUCGCUUCGAACACUCAUUUAGUUUUGCUGAGAGGAAUUCUCUCUGUAUUUAAGGGGAAGUUUAGAUGACUGCUUCAGUCUUUAAACAAACCGUAGUGUGACUGAUGAGUGUGAAUUGGUCUGACUGGUCACUGCUUACAUCAAGUUAUUGCGUUCCUGAAGGGUGUAUCUGAAUGGGCCUUCAGGGGCCAAAAGGAUCACGAGCAAAUCAGUCAAAGAAAGCCUGAUUUUAUUUUUUAUACAUUUUAUAAAACUUAAGUAUUCUCUAUUUCCCAUUCCAAUGUCUAAAAUGUUCUUUACAAAAUCAAAGCCCAAAUGCUUUAUAAAAGCAUGCACUAUGCAAGUAUACAUGUCUACAUAUUAACAGAAUUUCCUUUCGCAUCAUAAUGAUUGAAUAAAAAAAGGCCCCUUUGGCGCAGACCCCC